GGAGAAUCGCCUCAAUCUGGGAGGCGGAGCUUGCAGUGAGCCGAGACCGCACCACUGCGCUCCAGCCUGGGGACAGAGUGAGACUCUGUCCCCCCACCACACCAAAAAAAAAGUGCUGCUUAUUUCCGAGGCCCCAGGGACAGAGUGGCUUUGCUGCACCUCGGAUUGCUGCUUCCCAGCGGGUGUCCAAGGAGUUCUACACCUGGAAGGAGAAACGGGCCUAGGGAUGGGACAACGAGGCUCUUUGAGGCUCCUCUGUAUACACAGUGGGGGAAGGAGAGCAGGCAAGGGACAGGAGCCAGGGCCAGCCAGGCCACCGCAUGUCCUUGGCUCACACACCUGGGACUCCUCCCACGCCCACCUGUGAGUGUUCCCAGCAGAGAGUUCGCCUCCUGAAUCAUGAGAGCUGAGAAAAUCAGGUACAGAACUCCCUGCACUAGGUCAGUCCUGCCAUGAAACCACCGUGGGGUCCCCAGGACCUGCUGUGACCUCUGGGCCUGCAUUUCCUUCUCGUUAGCAAGUGGGACAGAAUGGGUGGCCUCCAAAGCGCCUUCUGAUGUGGAUAUCCCUGAACUCACCCUCUGGGACUGCUGUAUGAAAGAGAGUUAACUGGGGCAUUGAGACUGGUGCAGAGAAGGCCUGGGAGAGGCAAGGAAAGACAUUUUCCUGUCCUUCAAACACACGAAGGACUUCUGGGAAAAGGGCUUCAGUCAGUCACUCCACAGGUCGGAACUGGGAUCCUUGACAGAAAUUUCAGGGAGGCCAAUUUUAGUACGUAAGAAAAAAGGGUUCUGUAAUAACUGCCCCAAAUAGGAAUGAAAUGCCUUGGGGGUCCUGUCUUGGGACCAAGACUGGGUUGGGAAUGGAAGUUUGAGCUAAAUCAGAGCUGGCAAAGGCCUGGCACACGUACCACCACCCCUGACUUCCGUGACCAUGGCAGACAUUACUAGGUGCUCGUGAUACUCUUUCCACAGAGCCCUGAUCCGUCACCAUGCAGACAUUACUAGGUGCUCGUGAUACUCUUUCCGCAGAGCCUUGAUCCAUCACCAUGCAGACAUUACUAGGUGCUUGUGAUACUCUUUCCACAGAGCCCUGAUGUGCCUUCCGAAUCCUCCUCAGUGCAGUUUUCUAAGUGGUCAAUAUCAGUGGGUAGAGAUGGUACAAGAGAUGAAAACUGUCACUGCACCAGUGACUUUCUAGGCCCCUCAGGCUGAAGGGUCUAGAGAUUUAGACGAGUAUAAAGGAAACAUACCUGCCGGCCUCGGUUUCCAGGGCAGGCUUUAUACUCCCCUCCGCCUCCCACCGCGGGCUCUUGUGCCCUCGCUCCAUACCCACCCUCAGCUCUAACCAAGCAGAACUGGGAGACGGGAAAUGGUCAGCGAAGCAGCAGGCUCCACGUCUGCUCUCUUGGCCAGGCCAGGACCAGAAACCAUGUUUGAGUGAAGACCUGUUAGUGAGUUAAGGCAGCAGUUAACAUCUCUGUCUUAUUAGGUUAACCAAAAUACAUAUCCCCCACCCCACCCCCACCCCCACCCCCAUUCCGUGAUCAUUGUGGAUUUUCAAGUUGGUGACGUGUGACUUAGCGAAACGACCUGCAGGCCCGUUCUUGGAUCCAACAGCAGCGGUCAGAGGGUAGGGUCAUGCCAGAGCCUGGGAGCCAUUUGGGUGGGGUGGGGGGCAGACAUCCCACAGAGACCCAUCACAGUUCCGAACGAGGAGCUGGACUGAGAUCACCUGUCUCAGUUUGAGAUCCGCAGGACCCACACGUGAUCUCCCACAGGUGGCACUGUGGAGACCCCCAGGAUGGGGCUCAUGCACCCACUGGGCCACCUCUCCGGGAGCCAGAGCAGCCUGGCCAGUGAGAUGGGGACAGACUCUGCCGACCCGCAUGGGGGGCCCCUACCCCAGGCCGACCCAAGGGGCCGCGGUAAAAGACACACCUGGACGAGCCCCCAGUGCUGACACGGCUCCAGCAGGCCCCUCCCGCUGCCUGGGCUGAGGCGUUUGGUGCCUGGAACAGACUUCUCUGUGGAGGAUUCCUGCCAGACCCUGCCUGGCUCCCCUGACCGGUCCUUGUGCCUUCACCAGCCACCCUGUUGGCCAUGACUCAACAAACCAGUGUUGGGAGCUGUCUGCCUCCCCCACCCGGUGCCUUUCUGCGCCCCUUCUCUCCCGGGGAGCCGUCUGCAUCCGCCACCCCCUCCAGCCACCGCCCUCAGCCGCUAACCUUAUUUAUUGCCCUCCCCUCCCACACCCCCAACCUACCUUGUGAUAAUUUUAAGUUUGCGUGUGUCUUGGGUUGGGCUGGGGGUUCCCACAAGCUAUGUCCAAGGGGCCGCCUGGCGGGGCUUUCUCAUUGUUGUGUUAAUGGAAGACGAAACCCCAGGGCACGGCCUCUGAAGCUGCGUGUGGUGCCUUAGAGGCGAGCACUGGAGCCAGAGCAGUGAGCGUGAGAUUCACCCACCCUCUGCCUCUCCCUCCAACUCUGGGAGGCAGGAGCAGUGGCCCCUCCCAUGGGCUGGCCCAGGACCGCAGGCAAAACCUGGCUCGGGUUUCUUUGGUUUUUGUAUGUUUGUUUGUUGUUGAGACAGAGUCUCGCUCUGUUGCCCAGGCUGGAGUGCAGUGGC